UGAUGACGAUGAUGGUGAUGGUGAUGAUGGUAAUGAUGAUGGUGAUGGUGAUGGUGAGUACCAUCGCCGCCAUCAUCAUCAUCAUCGCCACCAUCAUCAUCAUCAUCGCCA
rnacentral:pre_miRNA from 1 species